rnacentral:rRNA from 1 species
UUAUACAAAAUAUACUAAUUAAUAUAGUUGGUUUUAAUAAUUAUAUUUUUAUAUAUUUGAUUUUAUUUAUUUAUUUUUUAGGUGAAAUUAUAAAUUUUAUAUUUAAUUUUAUUUUAUUAUAUUAUGAAAAGCAUUUUUAUAAACUGGGAUUAGAUACCCCAUUAUUUUGUUUGUUAAUAUUUACCAGGGUAGUAGUUAUUAUUUUAUUUAAACCUAAAGAAUUUGGCGGUGUUUUAGUCUACUUAGAGGAACUUGUCCCUUUAUCGAUAGUCCUCGUUAUAUCUUUCUUUAUUUUGUUUAGUUCAGUAUGUAUACCGCCGUUAUAAGUUUAUGUUAUUAGAUUAAUAAUUUACUUAAAAUUAUAUUUGAUUAUAU